rnacentral:hammerhead_ribozyme from 1 species
AUCCAACUGACGAGUCCCGAAUAGGACGAAACGCGUGUCUUGGAU